rnacentral:rRNA from 1 species
AGCAGCCGCGGUAAUUCCAGCUCCAAUAGCGUAUAUUAAAGUUGUUGCAGUUAAAAAGCUCGUAGUUGAAUUUCGGGGUUAGUAGGUUGGUCAUGCCUCUGGUAUGUACUGGUCUCACUGAUUCCUCCUUCCUGAUGAGCCGUAAUGCCAUUAAUUUGGUGUUGCGGGGAAUUUGGACUGUUACUUUGAAAAAAUUAGAGUGUUUAAAGCAAGCUAACGCUUGAAUACAUUAGCAUGGAAUAAUGAAAUAGGACGUUCGAUCCUAUUUUGUUGGUUUCUAGGAUUGACGUAAUGAUUAAUAGGGAUAGUUGGGGGCAUUAGUAUUCAAUUGUCAGAGGUGAAAUUCUUGGAUUUAUUGAAGACUAACUACUGCGAAAGCAUUUGCCAAGGAUGUUUUCAUUAAUCAAGAACGAAAGUUAGGGGAUCGAAGACGAUCAGAUACCGUCGUAGUCUUAACUAUAAACUAUGCCGACUAGGGAUCGGAUGAUGUUAAUUUUUAAUGACUCAUUCGGCGCCUUAA